AAUCAUGGCUCAGGAUGAACGCUAGCUACAGGCUUAACACAUGCAAGUCGAGGGGCAUCAGUUUGGUUUGCUUGCAAACCAAAGCUGGCGACCGGCGCACGGGUGAGUAACACGUAUCCAACCUGCCUCAUACUCGGGGAUAGCCUUUCGAAAGAAAGAUUAAUGUCCGAUAGCAUAUAUUUCCCGCAUGGGUUUUAUAUUAAAGAAAUUCGGUAUGAGAUGGGGAUGCGUUCCAUUAGUUUGUUGGGGGGG
rnacentral:rRNA from 1 species